rnacentral:rRNA from 1 species
CUGGCUCAGGACGAACGCUGGCGGCGUGCCUAAUACAUGCAAGUCGAGCGGACGGAUGGGAGCUUGCUCCCGGAAGUCAGCGGCGGACGGGUGAGUAACACGUGGGCAACCUGCCUGUAAGACUGGGAUAACUUCGGGAAACCGGAGCUAAUACCGGAUAAUUCUUUCCCUCACAUGAG